GACAGAGGGUGCAAACGUUGUUCGGAAUUACUGGGCGUAAAGCGCGUGUAGGCGGCUUUGCAAGUCGGGUGUGAAAGCCCUCAGCUCAACUGAGGAAGUGCGCCCGAAACUGCAGAGCUUGAGUGCCGGAGAGGGUGGCGGAAUUCCCCAAGUAGAGGUGAAAUUCGUAGAUAUGGGGAGGAACACCGGUGGCGAAGGCGGAUCUCUGGGCCUUGCCUGACGCUGAGGCGCGAAAGCGUGGGGAGCGAACAGG
rnacentral:rRNA from 1 species